rnacentral:rRNA from 1 species
GCACCACAACAGGUGGAGCCUGCGGUUUAAUCGGACUCAACGCCGGGAAACUCACCAGAUAAGACAGCUGAAUGAUAGUCGGACUGAAGACUCUACUUGACUAGCUGAGAGGAGGUGCAUGGCCGUCGUCAGUUCGUACUGUGAAGCAUCCUGUUAAGUCAGGCAACGAGCGAGACCCACGCCAACAGUUGCCAGCUCGUCCUCCGGGAUGGUGGGGACACUGUUGGGACCGCCUCUGCUAAAGAGGAGGAAGGAAUGGGCAACGGUAGGUCAGCAUGCCCCGAAUUAUCUGGGCUACACGCGGGCUACAAUGGGUGGGACAAUGGGUAUCGACACCGAAAGGUGAAGGCAAUCUCCUAAACCCAUCCGUAGUUCGGAUUGUGGGCUGCAACUCGCCCACAUGAAGCUGGAAUCUGUAGUAAUCGUGUCUCAAAAUGGCACGGUGAAUAUGUCCCUGCUCCUU